rnacentral:snRNA from 1 species
AUACUUACCUGGCAGGGGAAAUGCCACGCUCAGGAAGGUGGUUUUCCCAGGGUGAGGCCCAUCCAUUGCACUGCGGGUGCGCUGACCCCUGCGAUUUCCUCAAAUAGAGGAAACUCUACUGCACAAUUUGUGGUAGUGGGGGACUGCGUGCGCGCUUUCCCCUG